GAGAGAGAGCAUAAGAAUGCAGACUCCAGAAAAUAGAGGCACAGCCCUGAAUCCGUGCACUUGACUUCAAAUAGGUUCUGUUUAUAAAGAACAUGCACUGAUGCUUUAUGUGCCCGAGUCACAGGCUCAGUCACUCAACAAAUAUUUACUGAGCACCAAUUUAGGGUCGGACUCUGUUCCAAGGACUAGAGAACAAGACAGAUGGAAUCUGGGGGGAAGUUUAUAUUCUAGUGAAGAGAGACAGAUCACAAAAAAGUAAAGAAAUAACGGGAUCAAGUGAUAGACUGGAGAAGGAGAAACUUGAGCUGACAUCCGAGUGUCAGGAAGGAACCAAUUGUGGGAAAUGCUGGUAAAGACAACGCAGGAAGGGAGAAGGGUAGAAGAUUCCAGUUCUUCUCACCAUCUGCCCUGCUCCAAUCCUAGUUCAAGUCACUGCCAGCUAUUUCUCAAACACAGGGAAAGUCCGCAGACAUACCUCUCCCACCUCUACUCUUACCCUGCUCCCCUCCCAGCAGCGAAAGCUUGUCUGGACAACCUUGACAUCAGCAGGCACCUUCAACAAAGAUUUACCACCUCGGCUUAGCAUGGCGUGGUCUGGACGCCCCAGCCCCACUGUGGAUGUUUGGACGGUUGCGAUUAUAUACAACACCGCAGAGAAGAUCUCGGAACGUUCAUCUUCGUGCACCUGUAGAAAUAUAUUGAACUGGAUACUUUGACCGUUAAAACAGGCAAAGGUAUCCAGAGACUUCUCCCAACCUGAAGAGAUUCAUUGCAUGGGGGUGGGGAGGGUUGUAACUUGCUCCUUGCCUGGGAGGAGUUCCCAGGACUACAAAACAGAAGGCAAACAUCACAGGGCCAUAAAGUUGAAGGACGUAGUUGUCACGGUUGCCAAGAGAUAUUGGUGCUUCCACUGUUCCACUUGAUAUGGUGAGGGGACAUCUGUGUUCUAGAAACCGCACUGGCUUUAGCUCUGCAGGAAAAUCCCUUUACCGAGAGCUUUGUAAAAACAGAACAAAACAAAAUUCUAGACUAGGUUCCCUGUAAUAAAUGUCCAAGGAGCCUCCCCUGAGCUCUGUUAGUCUGCUGGUUUGCUGUGGCUCUGGGAAUGCUCACAAGGCAGUACCUCAUAAUGCCUAGGAAAGACAAAACCAACAGAGGUGUCUUCUUAGUAAUAAGGCAUGACCUUCCAUUUCUAAUUCAUUCUCCAGUGCUGCCCGUGCAUACUCUUUCCCUGGUCUGCUACAUUUUGUUUUAAUUCAGCACAUAUCUACUGGGUAUACACCGUGUGCCAGACACAGUACUAGGCUCUGGGGAAAGAAGUCUUAAUAACAAGAUAGAGUUGCCACCCUGCUACCCUCCUAGACUUUGCAGUCUCCUGGGAAGGGAGGAGAUGCUGAGGAGUAAACAGGCUUUUAUUCACUCAUCCAUUUAUGUAAACUCAAUAAGUGAUUCCUACGGGCAAGGCGCCACGUUAGGGAGUUAGAGAUGAAAAGACGCAUAAGAUGGUCAAGGUCCCAGACUUCUUGAAACUUACGGUUUAGUGAGUAAGACAGAGAGAAAGCAAACGCUGCAAAUAAGAUAAUUACAAGUUGUCACAAAUUCUAGAAAGAAAACCGGGUUUUGAGACAGAGUGCAAUAGGCGAUUGUACUUUAAUAAGAGUGGGCCAGAGAAACUGCCUCUGGGAAAGUGUCAUUUUAAGCCAAGACUUGAAGAGCCAGCUCUGGGAAUAGCGGAGGGAAAGAGACUUCCAGUCAGAGGCCACAGCCUAUGCAAAGGCCUUGGGCAGGAAUGAGCCAGGUAUGGCGAGGAAAUGAAAGGAAGCCAGGGUCAGGGAGUGGUGAAUGAAUGGGAGAGAGGCGUGAAUGAAGUGUGGGGAGUUCAUGGUGGCGUCAUUCAAGGCCAUGCUAAACAGCUUGACCCUGAUUUUAUUCCAAGCACACUGGGAAGCCAGGGCAAGAUUUUUAUGCCGAGGAAUAACCUGAUCUAAUUUGUGUUUGAAGAAAGUCACUCUUGGAGCUGGUUUGUAAGUGAAGUGAAGUGAAGAGGGUGCAAGAAUGGAGGCAGAGAAAACAUUAGGAGGCUUUUACAGUAUGCCAGGUAAGAGGUGAGAUAGCAUGGCUUAAAAUGGGGCUGGCUGGUGGGGGAAUUGGAGUUACAGUUGGGGCUAGAGUCAUCACGUCAGAAGGCUGGUAUUGCCAUUCCCUGAGACAGAUGCGAUUUACAGGAGGAACAGCAGAGCCAAGAGGGAGGUGAGGGUGGGUAGGGAAUAAAAGUAGAAGUUUCUUAUGGCAUGUUUUGAGGACAUCCCGCAGGAGGUGUUAAAUAGGUAGAACAUACUUUGAUGGGGACAAUGGUAGAUAGAUCAUGGUUUGAGAACUGCUGGACACUUUGGUUGCUUAAUGUGCUUGUGCAAGUAGAAAUGUCCAGCGUAUGAUAAAGGACCUGAUUCUAGAGCACGGGAGAGAGUCCGGAGCAAGAAUUCUAGAUAGCAGGUGAAGUCAGACCUGUGAAGAAUUCAAGAGAAGGGGACGAGGGAUUUGUCGGCUGCAUCCCUGCAUUGUCCGUGCUGACCCCAGCCAGCCACCAGUCUCCUAUUUUUCUCCUCCUAUCAUACUACAUGUGCCAUAGUGUACAUAUGUUGAGAUUUCUCCUAAAUCUCUCCAAAAGUCUUCGCUCUCAAUGUUAGAGCCAAGCACGGUAUUAAUGAGAAUCCUGGAAUGAAAGAAAUGCCUUCAAGUUACUUGGUGGAAAGUGACACGAACUCCUUGAGUGAAAUAUAGACCUCUUCGGAAACAGAGUCGAUUUGCCAUUGUAAAGUUUCCUUAUGUAUGUAUUUAUUGAUUAUUAAGGAUUUUUCACAAUAACGAGACCUAGCCAAGCAGGUACGAUGACUGGGUAUCACUGCAAAUAUUUUGCGAUUGUGAGAUCUAAUUUCAAUACUGAGUUAUCAAUUGCGCUUAACCUGUAAUGUUUUUAUUACCUUGAUAAGCAUGAACAGGAUUAACCUCGAGAAUUACUUUAGAAUAUUAUCAGAUUUUUUUCCACUUAAUAUUUUUGAUUCAUCCACAGUUUGAUUUUUUUGGGGGGGCCAAAUAGAACAAGGUUUAAACUCUUGCCUGUACAUCUAAUUUCUUUGCCUCCAAUAUAUAAUAAAAUAUUUCACUGACAUGACUAUUAUUCAUCAUGCCAACUUGAAUGACUGUCAGCUUAAGAAUAUAUGUAUUUCCAACUUAAAAAUGUUUUUUUUUUUCCAGAAUGAUUUCAGGCAAGUUAUUUAUAUUCAAAAUGUUUGAUAAUCAGUACUAUGCGAGUCCUAGCCAGUCAGGAAGGUCAUCGGGCAUACGUUAUGGAUACAACCUGCCUCUGUGUCCUGGCUGAAUAUUCCCCUGACUUUAGCAUAGCAUUCCACUAGAACCUGUUGAUUUCUAUUUUAAGGCAGCAAUUUCAAACUUGAAAACUUAGAAGAGCCAAGGAAAUGAUAGGCAUAAAAGAAGGGGGCUGAGUGUAAGGCAAAUAUAAACUGGGGAGAUCUGGUCAGACUUUAAAGCUCAAUAAUCAUUACCCACAGAGGACAGGAACUCCUCAGCGCCAGCCAAUAGUCGCCCUUAGAAAAGCAGAUUGGAAAGAAUCUCAAAGUUUGGAUUUGGGGAUUAUGGGCUGGGUGUGGGCCAAGGGCUGACAGUUUGCUCAUCUGUGUUCUAAGCCCCUUCUUCAGCUUUCACUGGAAAAAGUGCAGAAAUUUCUCAUUUGUUUUGAGUACCCUUUGGUCAGGAUUGACUCAGAAGAAGAAAAAA